rnacentral:rRNA from 1 species
AGUGAACGCUGGCGGCGUGCUUAACACAUGCAAGUCGAACGGAUCAAAGUAGCUUGCUAUUUUGGUUAGUGGCGCACGGGUGAGUAAUGUAUAGCUAGCCUGCCCUUUAGUGGGGGACAACAGUUGGAAACGACUGCUAAUACCCCAUACUCCUUCUUGCCAUAAGGUGAGUUGGGAAAGAUUUAUUGCUAAAGGAUGGGGCUUUAUUGUAUCAGCUAGUUGGUGAGGUAAUGGCUCACCAAGGCUAUGACGCAUACCUGGUCUGAGAGGAUGAUCAGGCACACUGGAACUGAGACACGGUCCAGACUCCUACGGGAGGCAGCAGUGGGGAAUAUUGCACAAUGGAGGAAACUCUGAUGCAGCAACGCCGCGUGGAGGAUGACGCAUUUCGGUGUGUAAACUCCUUUUAUAAGGGAAGAUAAUGACGGUACCUUAUGAAUAAGCACCGGCUAACUCCGUGCCAGCAGCCGCCGUAA